rnacentral:rRNA from 1 species
GCGAACGGGUGAGUAACACGUGAGUAACCUGCCCUUAACUUCGGGAUAAGCCUGGGAAACCGGGUCUAAUACCGGAUACGACGGACCACCGCAUGGCGGUCCGUGGAAAGCUUGAUGCGGUUUUGGAUGGACUCGCGGCCUAUCAGCUAGUUGGUUGGGGUAAUGGCCCACCAAGGCGACGACGGGUAGCCGGCCUGAGAGGGUGACCGGCCACACUGGGACUGAGACACGGCCCAGACUCCUACGGGAGGCAGCAGUGGGGAAUAUUGCACAAUGGGCGAAAGCCUGAUGCAGCGACGCCGCGUGAGGGACGAAGGCCUUCGGGUUGUAAACCUCUUUCAGCAGGGAAGAAGCGAAAGUGACGGUACCUGCAGAAGAAGCGCCGGCUAACUACGUGCCAGCAGCCGCGGUAAUACGUAGGGCGCAAGCGUUAUCCGGAAUUAUUGGGCGUAAAGAGCUCGUAGGCGGUUUGUCGCGUCUGCUGU